GUGAGGGACUUGCUUCGUGGAUUCAGCGGCGGACGGGUGAGUAAUGCCUAGGAAUCUGCCUGGUAGUGGGGGAUAACUGUCCGGAAACGGGCGCUAAUACCGCAUACGUCCUGAGGGAGAAAGUGGGGGAUCUUCGGACCUCACGCUAUCAGAUGAGCCUAGGUCGGAUUAGCUAGUUGGUGGGGUAAAGGCCUACCAAGGCGACGAUCCGUAACUGGUCUGAGAGGAUGAUCAGUCACACUGGAACUGAGACACGGUCCAGACUCCUACGGGAGGCAGCAGUGGGGAAUAUUGGACAAUGGGCGAAAGCCUGAUCCAGCCAUGCCGCGUGUGUGAAGAAGGUCUUCGGAUUGUAAAGCACUUUAAGUUGGGAGGAAGGGCAGUAAGUUAAUACCUUGCUGUUUUGACGUUACCAACAGAAUAAGCACCGGCUAACUUCGUGCCAGCAGCCGCGGUAAUACGAAGGGUGCAAGCGUUAAUCGGAAUUACUGGGCGUAAAGCGCGCGUAGGUGGUUCAGCAAGUUGGAUGUGAAAUCCCCGGGCUCAACCUGGGAACUGCAUCCAAAACUACUGAGCUAGAGUACGGUAGAGGGUGGUGGAAUUUCCUGUGUAGCGGUGAAAUGCGUAGAUAUAGGAAGGAACACCAGUGGCGAAGGCGACCACCUGGACUGAUACUGACACUGAGGUGCGAAAGCGUGGGGAGCAAACAGGAUUAGAUACCCUGGUAGUCCACGCCGUAAACGAUGUCGACUAGCCGUUGGGAUCCUUGAGAUCUUAGUGGCGCAGCUAACGCGAUAAGUCGACCGCCUGGGGAGUACGGCCGCAAGGUUAAAACUCAAUGAAUUUGACGGGGGCCCGCACAAGCGGUGGGAGCAUGGUGGUUUAAUUCGAAGCAACGCGAAGAACCUUUACCCUGGCCUUGACAUGCUGAGAACUUUCCAGAGAUGGAUUGGUGCCUUUCGGGAACUCAGAACAACAAGGUGCUGCAUGGCUGUCGUCAGCUUCGUGUCGGUGGAGAAUGUUGGGGUUAAGUCCCGUAACGAGCGCAACCUUGUCUUUAGUUACAAGCAACCUCGGUGCACUCUAGGGAACUGCCGUGAACAACCGGAAGAAAGGUGGGGGAAUGC
rnacentral:rRNA from 1 species